CUGACUUGGAGUAUUCACAGUGAAACUGUCAAUUUAUGUAGGAAAGCAGUAAAGCAAAUCAAUUCACUUAACAGACAUACCAAAUAACACUACAACAGGUUUUUAUAAGGAUGGUAAUUGGCCAAUAUGCAGACAUUUCUUAAAUUCUGCUGAUCAAAAACAAUCUAUCAAAUAAGAAAGUCAGAGGUAAGAGGACAAAGCAUUAUUCUUAUCACUCAUGCAAAUAACGAUCAGCAGCUGAAACAGCAGCACAAGCAAAUUAGUGAUCAAUAACUGUAACUAACUCCUCAGUUGCAUGGACUUAAUGUAGAACACAGCGUCAUUGUUAGAAAUCUACUAAUGCUACAGGAGUUAUGCUAAAGAUAGUAGAAUCCAGAACACACUGUAUUAUCCUGCAUUGAUGGAGGGUUUAGGGUUUCCUUUCAAAGCAGAAGCUCAGAAGCUGUCAUCCUUUCUUCAGCAGGCCAGUUUACACAAUCAGGAUUUCAACUGAGAGUGCAUGAUAGAACCCUUGGUAAGCGUUUGGAACUUUUUCCAACUCUUUGCUUUUUAGUACUGAGUAUGAGAUGUCCUUACUGCUUUUUGGAAGCCACAUCUGAAAUACUCCAAAGUUUGAGCACAUUGGAUUUUCCUAUCUGUUUCUUUGUCAAACGCUUACACUAUGCCACUGAACCUGAGUAUUACCUUUGACCCUAAUGUAUUAUUAUAGUGCUGUAGUCAACAAAUGGUGAUGUUGUGAAGCCUCAUGCUAGCAGAGAGAGUCACCAGUAGGUUUAAACUCUUUUGAAUACGGAUGUCUUUUCACCAACUAGAGACAUACAAUUGAGACCUUUUUUAAAUAGAAGUUUUCUCAGAGGUCACUGAUAUUUAUAUUUUAAGUGGAAACUCGGAGCAAUAUUAAAGUGUUCAAACUCUCAGAGCUGUAUGAGUGGUUUUAGUGUUCCUGCUGUGCAUGACAAAAAUGCUGACAGGGAACCCUCAGGCCACCUGCUAGGCAUA
rnacentral:lncRNA from 1 species